UUUUAUAUAUACUAUAAAAGAGGAGCUUUUAUAAUUCUUUUUUAACAAAUCGCUCCGCAAUUUUUUUUUCUAAAAUUUUUCAACUUUUUUGCUGUGUCAUUUAUAAUAAAGCUUGCCAAACUGGAUACUCAUUUAAUAUAAUGACGGCUAUAAAAGUAGUCUGAGACAUUAAAUAUUGUCUGAAUUUCAGUUUGUCUCCAGUGGAAGUGUUGCAAAUAGACCGAAGUUCUGUAAAAACAAAACAAAUUCUGCUGCACAUAAAAAGACACACUUGGAUAAAUAUUUUAAAAAUAAUAAAAAUAAGUACCGCUCAAGCUCACCAAAGAUGAAGUAAUAAUACUUAUACAUAUUAAGUUGAUGAACUCUGCUGAAUUAGUGACAAUUAAAUAAGCAAAUUCGUUGAUAGCAUUCUAACUCGGUUCUAUCCGCUUCUAUCCUCCACGUACGCCAAUUUCGAGCAUGUACCAACACUAUAACAAUUAAAUGCACCUCCUCCCUGCAGUCAUUAAUUAUGCGAUAGCAGGUGCAACUGCAUGGACACUUGGCUUCUGAACACUCUCAUGCAAUUUUUCAAUUUUCCACACUUUACAAACCAACAACAUUUAUUGCGAAAAAAUCAUGUUUGCAAAUCAUAAAGUAUCGUAUGAAUUAUGACAUGAAAAACAAAAAUCAAAAUAAUUUUCCAAACCUAAAAGCGAAUGUGAAAGUAUGACGCAAACGCCGUAAAAACACGCUUAGGAUAAAUGACUACAAGCAGCUUAUCAUAAUUUGAGCCAAUUUCGCUGUUGCUUUCGGAUGGUUUACAAAUUGGUAACAAGGUGUUUAACGCUUCCAAUCGACUGCCGAAAUGGAGUAGCGCAAUGCCAGCGGGUGAGUGUCGAAUCAUGAAUUGGCGGCCAUAUGCCACUAAUUCACUCAAUAUUCGUUGAGAGGCAUCAAUUCAGAUCCAUUCAGUGGCUAUAAUGACAUAAUUAUGAGUGCUCAGCGGUGACGACAGUAUAAUGAGGAAUACUGGAGAGGCCAGAAGUGGCUGGGACGAUGAUGUUGAACACCGGGAGCGAAUUAACGAAGCUUAAACUGCCAUUAUUUGCGAAUAGAGCGCUUAUAAAUAAGCAAUUCUCGCCAGCAGACCAGAGUAGAUAUAUUUUUGAAAAAAAAAAACAAACGAAAGAUAAAAUAAGACAUAUUAAGUGGAAAAUAAUUUAAGAGCGGUUGAGAUGAAAAAAAAUUUAAAUAAAAUAGACAGGGCGUUUGAGUCAAGUGAAGGUAAGUUUCCACCACAUUUAUAGAAAAAAUAUAUAUUUUUUGCAAAAAUUAAAAAAAAUCAAAAACUUUGUAAUUUUAAUUUUUCGCAUACAUUUUGAGAUUAUGCGACAAAAAUCUGCAUACAUAAGUUAUAGACCUUUUCAGUACCUACAAGAUUGUCAUAUAACUAUUUUCUAUAGGACUCGUGGUUUUGCCGAAAAUCGAGAUAAACUAUUUUUAAAACUUAAAAAUUGAGCCACAUCCUUCACCUUUCUCUUCCAGACUUCAGAACGCCUGUACAUUUUUUUCCCGUAAUGUCUGUUAUUUUAUCUUUCCGUUCUGAUGGUUUUCAAUCUACUAAGCUAAGUUUUAUUGCUAGAAAUAAUGUUUCUUUUUCAUCGUAAAGAAAUUUAAUGUAUUUAAAUGGGUGGUCGAAAAAGUCUUUUCGUACUUCUAAUCAAACUUCAACAUAUUUUUUGACACAAUGUGAUUGGUAGUUCUGUAGAUAUACGACUGCAAAGAUAUCUAUUGGCAAAAUGUAGAAAGACUUUUUCCACUACCUAAUUUUGCUUAUGAAAAGAACUUCCAAGAAUUCUAAUAUUAAUUUUAAGCCUGCGCUCAUUGGAUCGAAUAAUGAAAAUUCCUUAUAAAAAUUGGCAAAAGUUUUAAAGUUGAAUGCGAAAAGACAGCCGCAAGCCGUGCCUAUUUGCAUAUAUAUAUAUUUAUAGGUGUAUAACGUAUCUUAUUCUAAGCAUGCAAGCAAUUAUUUACAAAUAACUCUGUAGAAACAAUUCCUUCACACACACUUGCAACGCAUACGAAAGCUUCACACAUAGUAUAAUAUAUUUUAUAGGUAUAUAUAGAUAUAUGGGCGUCACUCCCAUACUCACAUGCUGUAUGCUUGCAUAUAUUUAUCCUUCCACACAAUUAUGUAAAUAACUGCAGCCUGCAAAGCACUGAUAACGAAACGCACUCAGGCAUGGAAUAAAUGGCAAAUGAAAAUGCCAUAAUUUGUUUGUUGCGCAACGACGAGGACAUAAUCUGCAACAUGUUUAGGAAAUGC